AUGUUGCUGCUUCUCAUCUGGAUGAUGAUGGUCUCCUUUCAAACUGGAUCCUCUGAAGAUUUACUGAAACCAUUGAAAGAUGAACUGAUGGCUUUGGAAGGAGACACUGUCACUCUCUCCUGCAAAUAUUCUGGAAAUGAUUAUUUCUUCUGGUAUCGACAAUUUCCAGGAAAACCUCCAGAGUUCUUGAUCUCUCAUUCUGGAACAGGAACACCAAUUUCCCAGCCAGUUCCUGGAUUUUCCUUCAAAGUUAGUGACGACCAAAGACAAAUGGAUCUGCAGAUCUCCUCUGCUGCAGUGACAGACUCUGCUGUGUACUACUGUGCCGUGUGGUCCACAGUGACAGGAAACAACAAAACUCUGUACAAAAACCUGGAGACACAAUAUCUACUAAUAAACUCCAACAGUUUCUGA